GCGUUCGGCUCGGUAUUCAGCUCACUUAAGCUCAACUUGAAAUUAAAUAAAUCAAACUUGAACAAAAAAAAAAAAACUCAAAAUUUAUUUCAAGCCGAGCUUGAUAUUAUUGGACUCGCUCGAAUUAGACCAAAAAAGCUCAAAUAUAUAUAUAUAUAUAUUAAAAAUAUUUAUAAAUAUAUAUAUUAUAAUAUAUAUCUUAAUUAUAUAUAAUAAUAUAUAAUAAUAUAUAUUAUGUAUUUUAAUUAUAUUUAUAUAGAGUUUUGGUUAUUGGAUAUAUUUGCUUGCUCACAAAAUUAAAUCAGUAAAAUUUUACUCUAAUUAUUCUCUCUCUCUUGCUCUCUCCUUCACUUGCUGGUAUAGUUGCUUUUCCUAAAUUAUUUUUUUUAAUAUUAUAAUAUCGUAGUUAUGUAUUUAUUUUAUCUUUUGAACUAUUAGACAUAUUUUUGUAUCAAAUUUAGAUAAUAUUUUUAAAAAUUAAACUAUAGAUUAC
rnacentral:lncRNA from 1 species